UACGUAGGGUGCGAGCGUUAAUCGGAAUUACUGGGCGUAAAGCGUGUGCAGGCGGUCUGUUAAGACAGAUGUGAAAUCCCCGGGCUUAACCUGGGAACUGCAUUUGUGACUGCACGGCUGGAGUGCGGCAGAGGGGGAUGGAAUUCCGCGUGUAGCAGCGAAAUGCGUAGAUAUGCGGAGGAACACCGAUGGCGAAGGCAAUCCCCUGGGCCUGCACUGACGCUCAUGCACGAAAGCGUGGGGAGCAAACAGG
rnacentral:rRNA from 1 species